CGGUAGCGUACUUCUGCUGCACAAGGAUAUCAAGUCGGGUUUUUGGAGGAGAGGGCGGAAGAAACUGCUGGAAAUAUGCCUUGCCACUCAGGCAGAGGAUUACGGCUGGGGACAGAGGACGAAGACAGGUCAUAAACCGUGCGCACUGCAGGAAUGUCUCUUCGCCUUUGGGCCACUCGUUCCACGCGGAGGUGGACCUGACCACUAGAUGACAGUAAAGCCUACAGGUCUUGCUCUCAUACUGAUGAAAUCCCUUUGGAAAUUGAAAAUGUUUUCGUGCCCUUCCAAAGGACUUCACAUUUUUGGAGGUGAGGUACUUUGUCCAAUGUGUCCAAUAUAGGCACCAUAAAAUAUAGCAAACACUGGUAACCAGCAGUGGCCAGAGGACCACACCAUAACAGUAGGGUUGCAUAGAGUAAUGGAAUAUUCUAUGGUAUGUCAAGUCUUUACAAUAGGAUUAUUAUUUUUUGUAAGAACUUCUACAUAUAAAGCGUCAUGAUAUGCAAAUCUCCAACACAUGUAAACAUAGUUCAACAUGUAAUCAAGUGACACAGGCUUACAGGGAUUCAUGAAUUUACAAUCUAUUUAUUUAUAAUCAGAUGUAAAAGAUGGAGAGUAAAAAAAAAAGUACACCCAUAACUCACAGGCAGCUCAUUGUAAUGUACAUAAUAUUUCCAUAUACAGCACUAUUAUUUUCAUGUUAAAAGUCCUACAUUCAAGUAAAACAUUUCAAAAGG